rnacentral:rRNA from 1 species
UACGUAGGUGGCAAGCGUUGUCCGGAGUUAUUGGGCGUAAAGCGCGCGCAGGCGGUCCUUUAAGUCUGAUGUGAAAGCCCACGGCUCAACCGUGGAGGGUCAUUGGAAACUGGGGGACUUGAGUACAGAAGAGAAGAGUGGAAUUCCACGUGUAGCGGUGAAAUGCGUAGAGAUGUGGAGGAACACCAGUGGCGAAGGCGACUCUUUGGUCUGUAACUGACGCUGAGGCGCGAAAGCGUGGGGAGCAAACAGG